rnacentral:rRNA from 1 species
UACAGAGGUCUCAAGCGUUGUUCGGAUUCAUUGGGCGUAAAGGGUGCGUAGGUGGCGUGGUAAGUCGGGUGUGAAAUUUCGGAGCUUAACUCCGAAACUGCAUUCGAUACUGCCGUGCUUGAGGACUGGAGAGGAGACUGGAAUUUACGGUGUAGCAGUGAAAUGCGUAGAUAUCUGGAGGAACACCGGUGGCGAAGGCGGCAUCCUGGACCGGUAUUGACGCUGAGGCGCGAAAGCUAGGGGAGCAAACGGG